rfam:Viridibacillus arenosi FSL R5-213 Contig040, whole genome shotgun sequence.
UCUAGUGACGAUAGCAAAGAGGUCACACCCGUUCCCAUGCCGAACACGGAAGUUAAGCUCUUUAGCGCCGAUGGUAGUUGGGGGUUUCCCCCUGUGAGAGUAGGACGUUGCUAGGC